ACUUCGUUUUAAAACUUCACCCCUGAACCCUAGUUCUUCUUCUUCUCUUCUCUUUGUUCCCAUAUUCCCAUCUUCAGCUGCUAAGCACCCCUCUCUUCACAGCAUGACCCCUCUCUUAUGUUCUUCGCGUUCAGCCGCUGAGCCACCCCUCUCUUUGCAGCACACCACUAUCUUAGGCAGACUCCUCUCUUCACACGCAACCCUCGCUUGGGUUUACUCAGUUUUUCUAAUCCUUGCUAUUGAUCUUGAGAUAUGUUGUUGACUCUUAUUCUCUCUGUGUUAUUGAUCUCUGUACUUGUUCUGGAGCUCUUGAAGCAAAGAGCUCUUAUUCUCUCUGUGUUUGUUCUUGAGCUCUUGAAGCAAAGAGCUCUUAUUCUUUCUGUCUUAUUGAUCUUGAGGUCCUAUGAGAUCAUCGAAAGGGAUUUCGACGACCGGGGGACUAUGUUUUCUUCUACGACCUUGGGAUGUGUGUCUUGUUUGACCUUCGAUUGAGCGUUGUUGUUGUACUGGUUUUAAAUUUCUUCGUGGAGGGGCUCUUUUGACUUCGGUUGCGACUGGCUCUGUUCUCUGCGCUGGUCGAGAUAUUCUUCUCUUGAAGACCCUAACCUCCAUGGUUUCAGGUUGCCUUUCUUCUCCAUAGGGGAGUUUUGACUGUGGGUCACGUGAUGGUUUACCAGCUCGUCAAGGAGGAGCUCGAAAUCUCCAUGGCCGACAACUGGUCCAGUGGGACCGCACAGUGGUAGCGUGCCCCUGCCUCACUUUGUGAUAGCUCAGGUUUAAGGCCUUCUGGGUCGGCCCGAUCGAGCCUGGGUUUGGUCCUUAAGAGCUCGCGACGGUGGCAGCUUGGCCUUCGCAAAGUCAGCAGUACAAGGCAACGACGUAAGGUCCUUUUCUUGGCAUACCAUUGCUUUCCUUACUAUGAACCAGUUUUUAAACCAGCUAGGAAAAUCUUCUGAGGUUUGUAAUAGCGUAAACUAUAUAAACCAAAUAUGAGCUAUAGAUGUAUUUUGAUAUGAAAAUAGCAUAUCCCAAGCUUUAAUAUAAUCAUAAUAAUUGUAUGCUCUUAAUUUAGAGUUGGUAUUUUGCAAAUACCUUACUUUUAAAGGAUCAAACCCCCAAUCUUUAUAA